UGCAGGCAGGCUGUCCCUGCAGGUCAGGCGAGGCUCUGUGCUGGCAAAGAGGUUAAAGCCCUUGCAGGGAUCUCCUUCCCAAGCGUUCCUGUUUCCUUAGGAAGAAGACUUCCCUGUUCAUGAUUAGAUGGCCACCGGUGUGAACGUGGGGGAUGGAGAGCCAGCAGACACACUUUGUUUCCUAAGCUGAUGCCACCCUGUAUUGACUGCCUACUUUCUGCCAGGAGAAGCUAAGUGCUGCAGACCAACUUGAUGCCAGCCUCUGCAAGAAUCCUCUCCAGAUUCUCCAGUAGGGAAAGAGGACACAUGCAUAAUGCAACUGGAGCAUAGUACCAGAAUGAUAUUUACUAGCCCUCACUUGAUCUUGGAGCACAAGGAUGGCACAGCUGGCUCCAGCCAAGAAAAGAUCACUCUCCAAGCACGACAGAAAGGAAGCGUUUUUUCCUGAUGCCUGUUGCUGAAGGCUACCUUGCAAUCAUAAUAAGAAGCACAAGGUAUAAUAGGGUCAGAGGACUGAAAGUGAAGAAGAGUCACCUUAGGAUGCACAAUUCAUGGAGAGAGACUUUGCACUUCCAGCCCAUGGGAGGUGCUUCCCUCCCUGAAGUCAAGGCCACAGCAUGGUAAUGAGAUAAGCUAUGGGCCUUCUGCCUGCUGCCAACGUUCACCGGAUGCUGACCAGAGACACAGAUGAAGGACUUCGUGACUUGGUGGUGAUGUUUCCAAGGCCUUAUGUCGAGCAGUCCUCUCUUCUGCGGUGAUUGUUAUUUAUAGCCUUAAUUUCUGGAGCAUAGGAGAAGAAGAUGGUGGUGUGCCAUCAACGGAAGGAGAAGGGAGAGAGAGACUCUCAAAGUGUCCUUUCUUAAUUAUCUGCAUGCACAGAGUUUUCCUUCAUUGGAGGAUAAAUCUUGAUAUGAUCAGGAUUUGGGACACUUUUCCUAGUGUUUGAGGAUCAAGGUUGAUGGUCAAGUCUAAUGGUUGGAGAUGAAGGGAACUAUGUCACAUAUAAGUGCACAGCUGCUGUCACAACUCCUACAAAUGUGAAAGUGGCUUCAGAAUUAGUGAUAGGUAAUGGAAGAAUUUUGAGAAGCAUGAUAGAAAAAGCCCAGACUGCCUUGAAGGGACUGUUGGUGGAAAGACGGAAGUUAAACAUGUUUCUGGUGAGAUCUCCGAAGGAAAUGAGGCACAUAUUUGAAACUAGAGGAAAAACAGUUGUUUUUAUCAAGUGGCAGAGAACUUGGAUGGACUGCGUUCCACUGUUGGUUGGAAAGCAGAACUUGUAAAUGAUGAACUUGGAUAUUUUGUGAGAUUUCCAAGCAAAGUAUGAAAGGUGCAGCUUGUUUUUUCCUUGUUGCUUAUAGUCAAAUGAGAGAAGAAUAAGAAAUUGAGAGAAAAAAUGUUAAACAAAAAAGAACGAGCAUUUGAUGAUUUGAGAGGUUCUCAAACUAUCCAGAUUGCAAAGGAUGCUAAAAUUAGGAAAUUCACUGUUGAGGAAAAAUAUUCUGAAGAGAAGUCCAAGGGUAUUGCUGGACAACCUUUUGCUGAAGAGAUUAGGUAUGUGGCUUGGAUCCAAUUAGCCAUCUCAGAAGAAUUCUGGGAUCGAGAUGGGGUUAUUCAGGGAGAAUCUUGUUUAAUGAAUGGAUCCCCUUGACAUACAUGGGAGGACCAUGAGGUUUUUGGGAAUGCCAACAGAAACACUUCCAGGUUGGACUGGAAAGGAACAGUAACUGAACAGAAUUAAAGAAAAAAAAAAAGGUUGUCAGCUUUCCAUAAUUCAAUAAAUAGGAAAUGAGCUACAAGACUGCAAAUGUGUGCUACUCUUCAAGGAGCAGGAAGAAUGGCUUGCAGUAUGGAGAUGCAGGCCCAGGAGCUGAGGGUACAGGAGCAGCUGCUGGGGACACAGUGGAUGAUGGGGCUACUGUGGAGGGGCAGGAGGUGAUGGAGCUAGCUGUGUGCCCAGAGGUGGAAGCCGUGAGCCACAGAGGACAAUUUGCAAGUCUUGAAACCUAAAGGAAUUUUCCUUGUUGGGUUUUGAACUCUGCUGGGGCCAGUGAUUCCUUAAUUCCUUCCAGUUUCUCCCUUUUGGAGAGAGAAUGCCUACCUUACAGCUGUACCACUAUUGUAUUUUGGAAGUAGAUAAUUUGUCUUCUAGUUCACAAGUCCACAGAUGGAGAAGAAUUUUGCUAUAGGAUGCAUUGGUCCUGGAAUCUCAAUCAUACCUGACUCAGAUGAUUUAGGUGAUGAAACCGGGGACCUUUUGAACUGAUAAUAUUUAUAGAAGACCUUGGACUUAGUUGAUGUUUUCAUGAGUUGUCUUAACUUUGGGGAUGUGGGGAUGGAGGGAAUAUACUUUUCACAGGGAAUGGACACAAAGUCAGAGGCCACAGUGCAGAAUGUGGUGGGUUGAAUAGAGGACCUCCAAAAUUAUGUCCAUCCAGAACCUCAGAAUGUGACCUUAUUUGGAAUAAAGGUAUUUGCAGAUGUAAUUAAGGUAAGAAUCUUGAGAGGAGCUCAUCCUGGAUUAGGAUGAAACUUAAAUCCAAUGAUGAGUAUCCUCAUAAGAGACAGAAAAGAAGAGACACAGAGACACAGGGAAGAAGUUUACAUGAAGCUGGAAUUAGAGAAUGAAAUGUUGCUGCCACAAGCCAAGGAAUGCCAGGAGCCUCCAACAUGCUGGAAGGACAAGAAAGGAUUUUUCACUAGAGAGCAUGGCCCUGCUGGCACCUUGGUUUCCAACCUCUGAUCUCCAAACCUGGGAGAGAAUAUAUUUCUGUUGUUUUAAGCCACCAGAUUUGUGGUAAUUUGUUAGGAUAGUCCUAAAAAACUAAUACAUAGCCUUAUAUCACUUAUUUAUAAUUUGUGUUAUUUAUAAACACAAAUUAGCAUUUAUUAUGUGACUGCUCUUUGUGAAAGGCACUGACCUAGGUGCUGGGGAUAUAACAGUGAGCAAAAUACAUUUGUAAAAUAUA